rnacentral:rRNA from 1 species
UACGUAGGGUGCAGGCGUUAAUCGGAAUUACUGGGCGUAAAGCGUGCGCAGGCGGCUCCUUAAGUCAGAUGUGAAAUCCCCGGGCUUAACCUGGGAACUGCGUUUGAAACUGGGGGGCUUGAGUGUGGAAGAGGGGGGUGGAAUUCCACGUGUAGCAGUGAAAUGCGUAGAGAUGUGGAGGAACACCGAUGGCGAAGGCAGCCCCCUGGGUCAACACUGACGCUCAUGCACGAAAGCGUGGGGAGCAAACAGG